CGGUGCAGUAAUACUAACAUACAAUAUGAAACACUAACACCCACUAAUCCCAUAGGAACUAGAAACAGUGUGACGUGUCUGUCGGCGCCAUCUGGUGGAGAGUCUGACGUUGACACAGACCAUUCCAUUACUCUGCCUGUUGUCUAUCUAGCAUGGUUUGUGUGACUGCUGCUUUCCCCUUUUCACGGUUAGAAUAGCGUGUUAUUAACCCUCCCUCUGGUCUUCUACCACUGUAGGAAGUUAACCCGUCGACAGCGCUCCCUGCUGCUGAGUUAUGCGAGGAGGAGACUGACGUGGAGGGGACUGUCAACGGAGUCACUGCUGCUACCACAGGUAGGGGCAGGAGUGGUCAGAGCUCUGAGUCUGGGGCAGGACAGGCAGAAACAGAGGGCAGAGAGAAGAAGAAGAAAGAAGAAGAGAGGGGGCAUCCUUUCCAAAAAAGAAAAUUUUUAUCUGACAGCCACACUCAGUUAGGACCCCCCAACACCUAAACACUAGCUUGUGAUAGUUGAUAGACCAUGAAUAUAUACCUUCAGAAUACACACACACUAACAUAUACAUUUCUCCAACCUGCGUUGGCUGUCCAUGUGUGGUUCCCUAGUUAGUUGGCCCAUCGUAAGUUCCAUAUAGAUGGUUCCCUACUAAUGUCCUAGUAGAGUGGUUCCAUAGUAGAGGGUUCCCAUAGUAGAGGGUCCAUAUAGAGUGGUUCCCAUAUAGUGUCCAUGAGAUGGUUCCCAUAGUAGAGUGGUCCCAUAGUAGAGUGGUUUCCAUAGUAGAGUGGUUCCCAUAGUAGAGUGGUUCCCAUGUAGAGUGUUUCCCAUAGUAGAGUGGUUCCCAUAGUAGGUGGUUCCCAUAGUAGAGUGGUUCCCAACUGCGGUUUGGUGGUCCUAUGUACGUGGUUCCCAAACUGUGGGGUUGGCACUCUCUAGGGGUCGUCAGGGAGGCUGCGGGUAUACAUCACCAAUAUACAUUAGACAUGGCAUAUUAAUAGAAUUGCAAGACAAUUAGCUUUAAAUCUGCAAAUGUCAGAACACACACACUCUAACAGAUCACUCCUCCAACCUGCAGUGUGGCUGUCCUAUAGUAUAUAGGUCUAGAUAUACUGCUGCUCAUUCCUCUGCUUCGCUGUUCUAUAGAACCAGCAUCCACCCUGUAGAUGUCUCCCCACCAACCCUGGCUAAUAUAGUCCACUUUUGAAGCAUUUGUCUUACCUCUUGUCCCCCCCCAUUUCCUCUUCCCAGGUAAGAGAUCAACAGGACAAGAUGGGGAAGGGAUAGCGACUGGCACUCCGUCCGCGCUCUACCCUCCCUCACCACCGCCUAGAUAGAGGGGAGAGAAAGAGGGAGAGAAAUGAGGGUUUGGAUUUGUUGUAAGAUCAUCCAUUUAGACACGGAACGGGCCACCAAGAAAGCCAGCCCGC
rnacentral:lncRNA from 1 species